GUGAAAUGCUGAAUACAACAGGUGUAGUAGACCUGACAGUGAAAUGCUGAAUACAACAGGUGUAGGUAGACCUGACAGUGAAAUGCUGAAUACAACAGGUGUAGGUAGACCAGACAGUGAAAUGCUGAAUACAACAGGUGUAGUAGACCUUACAGUGAAAUGCUGAAUACAACAGGUGUAGGUAGACCUGACAGUGAAAUGCUGAAUACAACAGGUGUAGGUAGACCUGACAGUGAAAUGCUGAAUACAACAGGUGUAGUAGACCUUACAGUGAAAUGCUGAAUACAACAGGUGUAGGUAGACCUUACAGUGAAAUGCUAAAUACAACAGGUGUAGUAGACCUUACAGUGAAAUGCUGAAUACAACAGGUGUAGGUAGACCUUACAGUGAAAUGCUGAAUACAACAGGUGUAGGUAGACCUUACAGUGAAAUGCUGAAUACAACAGGUGUAGGUAGACCUUACAGUGAAAUGCUGAAUACAACAGGUGUAGUAGACCUUACAGUGAAAUGCUGAAUACAACAGGUGUAG
ensembl:lncRNA